AUUGAACGCUGGCGGCAGGCCUAACACAUGCAAGUCGAACGAGUGGCGGACGGGUGCGUACUGUCUGGGAAACUGCCUGAUGGAGGGGGAUAACUACUGGAAACGUUAGCUAAUCCCGCAUACCAUCAGAUGUGCCCAGAUGGGUUUGGCUAUUUGGUGGGGUAACGGCUCACCAAGGCGACGAUCCCUAGCUGGUCUGAAAGGAUGACCAGCCACACGAGAACGGAGACAAGGUCGAGACUCCUACGGGAGGCAGAAGUGGGGAAUAUUGCACAAUGGGCGCAAGGCUGAUGCAGCCAUGCCGCGUGUAUGAAGAAGGCCUUCGGGUUGUAAAGUACUUGCAGCGGGGAGGCGUUACCCGCAGAAGAAGCACCGGCUAACUCCGUGCCAGCAGCCGCGGUAAUUC
rnacentral:rRNA from 1 species